rnacentral:rRNA from 1 species
GUCCUAUUGGUAUAUUUAAUAGGUCUGACCUGCCCAGUGAUGAAUUUAACGGCCGCGGUAUACUGACCGUGCAAAGGUAGCAUAAUCAUUAGUCUUUUAAUAGGAGGCUGGAAUGAAAGGUUUAACGAAAAAUUAACUGUCUUAAUUACAAAAUUGAAUUUAUCUUUUGAGUCAAAAGACUCAAAUAUUAUUGAAGGACGAGAAGACCCUAUAGAGCUUUACAUUUUUGUUAAUAAAUUUAUUUAGCUAAUAAUCUAUUUUUAUUAACUAACUUAAUGUUUUGUUGGGGUGACAAUAAAUAUAUAUUUAACUUUUAUUAUUUUAUUAACAUUAAUUUAUGAUUUAUUGGAUCCAAAAUUUUUGAUCAAUAGUUUAAGUUACCUUAGGGAUAACAGCGUAAUCUUCCCUCAGAGUUCAUAUUUACGGGAAGGGUUGCGACCUCGAUGUUGGAUUAAGAUAAUAAUUAGGUGCAGUAGCUUAAUUAAUAGGUCUGUUCGACCUUUAAAUUCUUACAUGAUCUGAGUUCAGACCGG